rnacentral:rRNA from 1 species
GAUGAACGCUGGCGGCGUGCCUAAUACAUGCAAGUCGAGCGAACGGACGAGAAGCUUGCUUCUCUGAUGUUAGCGGCGGACGGGUGAGUAACACGUGGAUAACCUACCUAUAAGACUGGGAUAACUUCGGGAAACCGUAGCUAAUAACGGAUAAUAUUUUGAACCGCAUGGUUCAAAAGUGAAAGACGGUCUUGCUGUCACUUAUAGAUGGAUCCGCGCUGCAUUAGCUAGUUGGUAGGGUAACGGCUUACCAAGGCAACGAUGGAUAGCCGACCUGAGAGGGUGGUCGGCCACACUGGAAGUGAGACGCGGUCCAGACUCCUACGGGAGGCAGCAGUAGGGAAUCUUCCGCAAUGGGCGGAAGCCUGACGGGGCAACGCCGCGUGAGUGAUGAAGGUCUUCGGAUCGUAAAACUCUGUUAUUAGGGAAGAACAUAUGUGUAAGUAACUGUGCACAUCUUGACGGUACCUAAUCAGAAAGCCACGGCUAACUACGUG